rnacentral:rRNA from 1 species
AACGAACGCUGGCGGCAUGCCUAACACAUGCAAGUCGAACGAUCCCUUCGGGGAUAGUGGCGCACGGGUGCGUAACGCGUGGGAACCUGCCCUUAGGUUCGGAAUAACUCAGAGAAAUUUGAGCUAAUACCGGAUAAUGUCUUCGGACCAAAGAUUUAUCACCUUUGGAUGGGCCCGCGUUGGAUUAGCUAGUUGGUGGGGUAAAGGCCUACCAAGGCGACGAUCCAUAGCUGGUCUGAGAGGAUGAUCAGCCACACUGGGACUGAGACACGGCCCAGACUCCUACGGGAGGCAGCAGUGGGGAAUAUUGGACAAUGGGCGAAAGCCUGAUCCAGCAAUGCCGCGUGAGUGAUGAAGGCCUUAGGGUUGUAAAGCUCUUUUACCCGGGAUGAUAAUGACAGUACCGGGAGAAUAAGCCCCGGCUAACUCCGUG